UUCGUUUGCAAUGCAAUUGCUUUGACUUGUUCAAAGAGGAAAGUCUGGACACCAUUGUUCUUUUAGAACAAUAUGGAUAAUCGGUAAUGCCGAUCGGUUUAUUAGUAAUAAUAAACAAGGGAAAGUGCCGCAGAGACAAUACUAACUAACGCUUUGCGUUAGCCAAAGGUGAAAAGUGCAUUGAUGUAAUCAUUCCGAUGAUUGCUACAAAGCUCGCUUGUUGGCAACAACAGGUUGUGGUAAACCCUAUUUGGUGCAAGGCCGUGUUUCGAGAAAUCGGAAAGUGCCGCUAAAGUUGCUUGGAAACAUUCAACGUAGAUAAAUAAUUGCAACUCCUUGGAGUAACAGAAUCCAGCUUAUUUGUUUGUGAAACUA
rnacentral:RNase_P_RNA from 1 species